rnacentral:rRNA from 1 species
GUGCCAGCCGCCGCGGUAAUACGAAAGGUGCGAGCGUUAAUCGGAAUUACUGGGCGUAAAGCGCGCGUAGGCGGUGUGUUAAGUCGGAUGUGAAAGCCCAGGGCUCAACCUUGGAAUUGCAUCCGAUACUGGCACGCUAGAGUGCAGUAGAGGGAGGUGGAAUUUCCGGUGUAGCGGUGAAAUGCGUAGAGAUCGGAAGGAACACCAGUGGCGAAGGCGGCCUCCUGGACUGACACUGACGCUGAGGUGCGAAAGCGUGGGGAGCAAACAGGAUUAGAUACCCCAG